rnacentral:lncRNA from 1 species
UCAGGCUCAUUCAGGGUGGUCAGAGCAGGUUGCUUAUGGAGAAGAGAUCCACGCCACACUCUGCUUUCAAACAGCUUUUCAUCAAUAGAUAGCAUUGCUUAUAAAUGGGGUCUGGGAAAAAAUAAUGGCCUCAGUCAAGCUAAUCAAUUUUUCUAGAUAAUAAUCCAAAGUGAAUGUUGUAUAGUAUUAUUACUUACCAAUGUCUGUGAUAAGUACAGCCAAGUUUGGGGUUUUCUGGAUACUUCUUUUAGUUUUCCUUUAAUUUCCAGGGAGCAGGUUAUAAUUACAGGGCCUUUCAGUGAUGUUUUAAGGAUUAUUUUCAUCUCACUGCUGCGUUUCUUAUAAAAAUGGAAAGUCCCAGAUUUGUAUUGGCAGAUUGGAUUAAAAUUCAUCACUCGCUGCAUUUUUUCCAGGUCUAUUUCUUAAUUACUUAAACUGAUUUAGGUAAUUAGUUGGCUCUGUACCAAUCCUUUACUAAGUUUAGUUUGAGUUUUGUUUCAGUGUUGUCAUAGGAUGAAUAAUGGCCUCUUAAAGACAGCCAAGUCCUAAUUCUCAGAACCAGUGAAUAUGGGUACCUUGCUUUGUAAAAGAGACUUUGCACGUGUGAUUAAGUUACAGAUCUUGAGGUGAGAGAUUAUCCUGGGUUGUUGGGUUGGGCCAAUGUAAUCACAAGAGUCUUUAUAGGAGGGAGGCAGGAGAUCAGAGUGACUCACAGCAGAUAGAGGCAAGAGGUUGGGAUGACAUGAGAAUGAGGUCAAGAGCCACAGAAUGCAGAUGGCCUGAGAAGCUGAUGGAGGCAAGAAAAGAGAUUCUUCCCACGUCCCAGAAGGAACCAGCCCUGCCAGCACCUUGACAGUAGCCCAGGGAGACUGAUUUUGGAUUUCUGACUUCCAGAACUAUAAGAGAAAAAAUUCUCAUUGUUUUAAACCAUUCAGUUUAUGGUAAUUUGUCACAGUAGCCAUAGGAAACUAAUACAAACAUUGACGUCAUUCAAGACAUACAGCUGUACAUUUCAUUUGAUUGGUUGAACUAUUGGGGUUAAUAUUUAUUCCUACACCAAGUAUCUAAGUUUACUUCAUUGCUGUCAAAAUGCAAACUACUGUUGGCUUAGAUUUUAUUGAUGACUUGAGAAAAUGUUAUAUAUGUUCAUCUAUAAGGAAACCACUAAGUUAAAAUUCAGAAUUAAAAAUCAGAUAGAGUGGCUAGUCAUCUUACUAAAGGUUGUUUUGUUUAGGCAAAUUUGCUGCAUGAGUCAUAAAUAUCAUGGAGCCACACUAAAACAUUUCAAAAGUGAGUCAACUUACAAAACUGCAAUUUGCUUCCAAACUCUUCAAGGACAUCUAUUGCAUAAAGAAAUCAAGCAAGGAAGGCCAGAAUAGAAUUCUGGUAUAUCUACACUUCAAACAAGUUUACAAUGGAAGAAUGGCCUCCUCAAAACCCCAAACAGCUGGAAUCGGGCCAAUUAGUAGGAUUAUUGCAAAGACCAGACAUUUAUCAGGACCCUUUUGCAGAAACACAUGUGGGGCUGUAAGCGAUGCAUUUCCUGGCUUCUGACAUGAGCUAAACAUCUGUUCAAGGCAAGGCUGUAAUGAAACUGUCCCAAGGCAUCUGAGAGUGGAGAGUGAUUGGACUCGGGUGAAGACUCCAAGAUGGCGAUCGCCACCUCGGAUACCCUGACUCAGCAUUUCCGGGUUCACCUUUCCUGUUCCCGCCAACCCGACUAACGCGCAUGCCCACUAGGGCGUGUCACACAGAGAAGUGCGAAACUCAACCGACCCCGCCCCUACCCCGCCCACUCCUCACCCAGCAUCCAUAAAAGCGUGCUGCCCCUUUGGCACAGCGCGACUUCCCUGGCCCUCCCCCUGCGGACCAGUGAACCUCGCCCGAGAGCUCAAUAAAGAAGAUUUUUGCCCUC